GAGUUUGAUCCUGGCUCAGAACGAACGCUGGCGGCGUGCCUAACACAUGCAAGUCCAACGUGAAAGGGGAGCAAUCCCCCGGUAGGGUGGCAAACGGGUGAGUAAUACAUGGGUGAUCUACCUUAGGGAUGGGGAUAUCCUUCCGAAAGGAGGGGCAAUACCGAAUAUUGUCCGGAGCCGUGAAGGGUUCCGGGGAAAGGGAGGCCUCUGAUACAAGCUUUCGCCUUAAGAUGAGCCCAUGGCCCAUCAGCUAGUUGGUAGGGUAAAGGCCUACCAAGGCUACGACGGGUCGCUGGUCUGAGAGGACGACCAGCCACACUGGCACUGAGAUACGGGCCAGACUCCUACGGGAGGCAGCAGUGAGGAAUAUUGCGCAAUGGGGGAAACCCUGACGCAGCAACGCCGCGUGUGGGAAGAAGGCCUUCGGGUCGUAAACCACUUUUGCACGGGACGAAAAAGGGAUAUCGAACAAAUAUCCCCGAUGACGGUACCGUGAGAAUAAGCCACGGCUAACUCUGUGCCAGCAGCCGCGGUAAGACAGAGGUGGCAAGCGUUGUUCGGAAUUACUGGGCGUAAAGAGUCUGUAGGUGGUUUGUCAAGUCUUUGGUGAAAGGCCGUAGCUUAACUAUGGGAAUGCCAAAGAGACUGGCAGGCUGGAGGCUGGGAGAGGGAAGC
rnacentral:rRNA from 1 species